rnacentral:rRNA from 1 species
AAUGAGCCUGCGAGUUGUGGUGUCUGGCAAGGUUAAGCAAACGCGAAGCCGUAGCGAAAGCGAGUCUGAAUAGGGCGCUUAGUCAGAUGCUGCAGACCCGAAACGAAGUGAUCUAUCCAUGAGCAAGUUGAAGCUAGUGUAAGAACUAGUGGAGGACUGAACCCAUAGGCGUUGAAAAGCCCCGGGAUGACUUGUGGAUAGGGGUGAAAGGCCAAUCAAACUUCGUGAUAGCUGGUUCUCUCCGAAAUAUAUUUAGGUAUAGCGUUGUGUCGUAAUAUAAGGGGGUAGAGCACUGAAUGGGCUAGGGCAUACACCAAUGUACCAAACCCUAUCAAACUCCGAAUACCUUAUAUGUAAUCACAGCAGUCAGGCGGCGAGUGAUAAAAUCCGUCGUCAAGAGGGAAACAACCCAGACUACCAGCUAAGGUCCCUAAAUCUUACUUAAGUGGAAAACGAUGUGAAGUUACUUAAACAACCAGGAGGUUGGCUUAGAAGCAGCCAUCCUUUAAAGAAAGCGUAAUAGCUCACUGGUCUAGUGAUUUUGCGCGGAAAAUAUAACGGGGCUAAAGUAAGUACCGAAGCUGUAGACUUGCACACAACUUAGAUUAUUUAAGUUUAGAAUAAGUAGUUUAAGUUGUGUGCAAGUGGUAGGAGAGCGUUCUAUUUGCGUCGAAGGUAUACCGGUAAGGAGUGCUGGAGCGAAUAGAAGUGAGCAUGCAGGCAUGAGUAGCGAUAAUUAAUGUGAGAAUCAUUAACGCCGUAAACCCAAGGUUUCCUACGCGAUGCUCGUCAUCGUAGGGUUAGUCGGGUCCUAAGUCGAGUCCGAAAGGGGUAGACGAUGGCAAAUUGGUUAAUAUUCCAAUACCAACAUUAGUGUGCGAUGGAAGGACGCUUAGGGCUAAGGGGGCUAGCGGAUGGAAGUGCUAGUCUAAGGUCGUAGGAGGUUAUACAGGCAAAUCCGUAUAACAAUACUCCGAGAACUGAAAGGCUUUUUGAAGUCUUCGGAUGGAUAGAAGAACCCCUGAUGCCGUCGAGCCAAGAAAAGUUUCUAAGUUUAGCUAAUGUUGCCCGUACCGUAAACCGACACAGGUGGGUGGGAUGAGUAUUCUAAGGCGCGUGGAAGAACUCUCUUUAAGGAACUCUGCAAAAUAGCACCGUAUCUUC